CGUACACUCCUGCGGGAGGCAGCAGUGAGGAAUAUUGGACAAUGGGUGGAAGCCUGAUCCAGCCAUCCCGCGUGCAGGAAGACGGCCCUAUGGGUUGUAAACUGCUUUUAUCUGGGGAUAAACCUACUUACGUGUAAGUAGCUGAAGGUACCAGACGAAUAAGCACCGGCUAACUCCGUGCCAGCAGCCGCGGUAAUACGGAGGGUGCAAGCGUUAUCCGGAUUUAUUGGGUUUAAAGGGUCCGUAGGCGGACUGAUAAGUCAGUGGUGAAAUCCGACAGCUUAACUGUCGAACUGCCAUUGAUACUGUUAGUCUUGAGUAAGGUUGAAGUGGCUGGAAUAAGUAGUGUAGCGGUGAAAUGCAUAGAUAUUACGUAGAACACCAAUUGCGAAGGCAGGUCACUAAGUCUUAACUGACGCUGAUGGACGAAAGCGUGGGGAGCGAACAGGAUUAGAAACCCUGGUAGUCCCAUGAU
rnacentral:rRNA from 1 species